UGGGGAAUAUUGCACAAUGGGCGAAAGCCUGAUGCAGCAACGCCGCGUGAGGGACGACGGCCUUCGGGUUGUAAACCUCUUUUAGCAAGGAAGAAGCGAAAGUGACGGUACUUGCAGAAAAAGCGCCGGCUAACUACGUGCCAGCAGCCGCGGUAAUACGUAGGGCGCAAGCGUUAUCCGGAAUUAUUGGGCGUAAAGAGCUCGUAGGCGGUUUGUCGCGUCUGCUGUGAAAACCCGAGGCUCAACCUCGGGCCUGCAGUGGGUACGGGCAGACUAGAGUGCGGUAGGGGAGAUUGGAACUCCUGGUGUAGCGGUGGAAUGCGCAGAUAUCAGGAAGAACACCGAUGGCGAAGGCAGAUCUCUGGGCCGUAACUGACGCUGAGGAGCGAAAGGGUGGGGAGCAAACAGGCUUAGAUACCCUGGUAGUCCACCCCGUAAACGUUGGGAACUAGUUGUGGGUCCAUUCCACGGAUUCCGUGACGCAGCUAACGCAUUAAGUUCCCCGCCUGGGGAGUACGGCCGCAAGGCUAAAACUCAAAG
rnacentral:rRNA from 1 species